rnacentral:rRNA from 1 species
GACGAACGCUGGCGGCGUGCUUAACACAUGCAAGUCGAACGGAAAGGCCCUGCUUUUGUGGGGUGCUCGAGUGGCGAACGGGUGAGUAACACGUGAGUAACCUGCCCUUGAUUUUGGGAUAACUUCAGGAAAGUGGGGCUAAUAUCGGAUAGGAGCUCCUGCUGCAUGGUGGGGGUUGGAAAGUUUCGGCGGUUGGGGAUGGACUCGCGGCUUAUCAGCUUGUUGGUGGGGUAGUGGCUUACCAAGGCUGUGACGGGUAGCCGGCCUGAGAGGGUGACCGGCCACAUUGGGACUGAGAUACGGCCCAGACUCCUACGGUGGGCAGCAGUGGGGAAUAUUGCACAAUGGGCGGAAGCCUGAUGCAGCAACGCCGCGUGCGGGAUGACGGCCUUCGGGUUGUAAACCGCUUUCGCCUGUGACGAAGCGUGAGUGACGGUAAUGGGUAAAGAAGCACCGGCUAACUACGUG